rnacentral:rRNA from 1 species
UACGUAGGGUGCGAGCGUUAAGCGGAAUUACUGGGCGUAAAGCGUGCGCAGGCGGUGAUGUAAGACCGAUGUGAAAUCCCCGGGCUUAACCUGGGAACUGCAUUGGUGACUGCAUCGCUCGAGUAUGGCAGAGGGGGGUAGAAUUCCACGUGUAGCAGUGAAAUGCGUAGAGAUGUGGAGGAAUACCGAUGGCGAAGGCAGCCCCCUGGGUCAAUACUGACGCUCAUGCACGAAAGCGUGGGGAGCAAACAGG